rnacentral:rRNA from 1 species
CCUACGGGAGGCAGCAGUGGGGAAUAUUGGGCAAUGGGCGCAAGCCUGACCCAGCAACGCCGCGUGAAGGAAGAAGGCUUUCGGGUUGUUAACUUCUUUUCUGAGGGAAGAAGAAAGUGACGGUACCUCAGGAAUAAGCCACGGCUAAAUAAGUGCCAGCAGUCGCGGGAAUACGUAGGUGGCAAGCUUGAUCCGGAUUUAUUGGGUGUAAGGGGCGAGUAGGCGGGAAAGCAAGGCAGAUGUGAAAACUCAGGGCCAAACCCUGAGCCUGCAUUUGAAACUGUUUGUCUUGAGUGCUGGGGAGGCAAGCGGAAUGCGGGGUGUAGCGGUGAAAUGCGUAGAUAUACGGAGGAACACCAGUGGCGAAGGCAGAUUGCUGGACAGUAACUGACGCUGAGGCGCGAAAGCGUGGGGAGCAAACAGGAUUAGAUACCCUGGUAGUC